rnacentral:rRNA from 1 species
UACGGAGGGGGCGAGCGUUAUUCGGAAUCAUUGGGCGUAAAGGGCUCGUAGGUGGCCAACUAAGUCAGACGUGAAAUCCCUCGGCUUAACCGGGGAACUGCGUCUGAUACUGGAUGGCUUGAGUUCGGGAGAGGGAUGCGGAAUUCCAGGUGUAGCGGUGAAAUGCGUAGAUAUCUGGAGGAACACCGGUGGCGAAGGCGGCAUCCUGGACCGAUACUGACGCUGAGGAGCGAAAGCCAGGGGAGCAAACGGG